rnacentral:lncRNA from 1 species
UUUAAUUUCAUUCCUUUUUUUGUUUUUGUUUUCCACUUUACUGGACAUCACCCACCAACCCUUCACUGGACAUACAAUGAAGAAUUAAUAACAGAUUUGAGAUUCUCAAUGAUCAAUUCAUGAUUAUUUGGGUCACUUUGAGUAACACACCCUGGAGAACUUUCUUGGGAGAGAGCUGAUCCAGUGGUGGGGGAAAGAAAUUAAAUUGGGGAAAUUUUAAUUAGGAAUAAUCUGCAAUAAAGAUGUCUUCCACUUUUAUUUGCACUAAAGUUGAGGGGGAAAAAGAAAAAGGGGGGAAAAAAAACUGUGAACCAUAGCACUAUAGGUGGUUUGGUUAAGAUGUUCAUCUUCAUGAAUGGCAUUGAAGACACCACAGCAAAGCAAGUCUUCUCAGACAACAUAAACACUAACACGAG